ensembl:lncRNA
CACGUCCUGAUCCUGGGACCACCGCUACAGUGGUCUUCCCUGUUGGAAGCUGGCGUCACUGUCCCUCCAGCCUGGACGGAGACCCCCACAUGGCUCAGCCCCCUGGAUCCUGGUCAGGAAGUCACCUUUUCCAGCUGUCUGGGGCUGCCUGCCAAGGAACGUCAGAGUGAUCUGGCACCUUACUUACUGGACACUUUAAACAUGUGCGCUGUGACUCAUUCUAUCAGAUACUGGAUGCUCUCAGCAGGAAACAAGCCAGAAGAACAAGUUCCAUGCUUCGAUGAUGGUCCUGACCUUUCCACAUACAAAUUAAUGGAGCUUUCGAAGCUAGGAGAACCUCAGAGGGAAAAGGAUGACCUGAUCCCAGGAAGCUCAGAGUGAAGGCCCCACGCUGCCC